UACGUAGGGGGCAAGCGUUGUCCGGAUUCAUUGGGCGUACAGAGCGUGCAGGCGGCCAGGUAGGUCGGUUGUGAAAACUGGAGGCUCAACCUUCAGAGGUCGACCGAAACCAUCUGGCUAGAGUCCGGGAGAGGAGAGUGGAAUUCCUGGUGUAGCGGUGGAAUGCGCAGAUAUCAGGAAGAACACCAACGGCGAAGGCAGCUCGCUAGGACGGUACUGACGCUGAGACGCGAAAGCGUGGGGAGCGAACAGG
rnacentral:rRNA from 1 species